UCUAAAAAGGUUAUAUUGUAUUCUACCUAUUUUAACAAAGUUGUAUAAGGAAAUAUGAGUUUCAAUGACAUUCUUGUAAUUGAAAGGUAGACCGACUCAUGUUUUUUAAUCUGAAAACGAAGAAAAAUUUAUUUGACAUGUGGAUGUGAAAACGUCCAAAUAAAGAUUUUAGGAUACAAAAUACAUCUUAGAAUCAUCCAUACGUUAACGGCAGUAUGUAUCCGUCUGUCAACAAACUUAUAAAAAUACAAAAUUCAAUAAAUAGCUCUACACGACAGAAUGUAAACAAGAAACUCCUUGAUUUACACGAAAGUAAGAAACUAGAGUCCAAGCGAUCUGCAGAAGAAAUAGAGGAGAUAAGAACUUCUGUUAAAGAAAUGGUUACACUGAUCACCUCAGAGUUUAAAAGAUAUGGGGAUAAUGAGUUUUAUGAUGUAAAAUGCAUACAUAGUGUUGGCAGUAUGGCAGAAGGAACUCGUAUAGGUAACCCGAAAGAAUUUGACUUUAUCGUUGAAUUAAAAAAGUUUUCUACAGCUAACAUGGCUAAGGCUUUAGAAAUUAUAUCUAUCGACACAAUUGACGAUUGUUCAACUCCUUUUGGAGCAGUACAACAUCCUUUUCAACAUGCCCAUAUAAAGGUUAUAGAUACAGAAUUGAAGGAAACGUUUGAAGACUAUAUUCUAAAGGACGAAUAUCUUAAUAAGACACUAUUUAGUCCUACUACAAGACAAGCUGUAUUGAAAUAUGCUAUUGGAAAUCUUGGAAAGAAUGUCCUAACUUAAAACUAUGGAACAUUAGAAAUAACCGACAUUCCUCCUGGAAAAAAUGGACCUGCUGGUUCAUUUGUUUUGUUAUGGAAAUCAAAUAUCUUAAAGAAAGAAAAAUUAUUUAUCACCAUAGAUACAGUAAUGGCUAUUGCAGUUUCGCAAGACAUGCUUAAGGAUAAAGAAUCAAGCGUCAAUGACUGUUUCAAACAUCUGAAAAAUGAGUCCUGCUUUCUUCUACCCGCGGGAUCCUUCCAAAAUAAUCGUUGUUUCAAGUAUGCGUUUACUCUAACAGAGGUCGAGCGCAUGAAAUCCCUAUCAGAUCAUCACAAAAUAUGUUACAGACUUAUGAAGGACUUUGUAGGACGAGAUGGGAGCGUUUCGAAAGCUUUUCCAUCAUAUGUUCUAAACGGUCAUAUUGAGACAUUCUGUAAAAUGUGAAGAGAAAACAGAUUUUUUUGCAUGCAUUGUCGACAUUAUUACAGAAAUGUGUAAAACGUGUUCUCAUGGUGACUUCUUACAUUUAGCCGAGAACACAUUAUUAUUGAAACAAAAUUUCGUAUCAGAAGCACCCUGCGAUCGAGAUGUUUACCCUGGUUUGAUUGAUGAUCUGAUAACAUUACAGAUUCUCGAAGAACUUUUUCCGAGUGAAUGAGAAGAUACAUAUAGCUUGACUUGUUCUUGUGUGACAUUAUGGUCAUGUAGGGUACUUUAGCCUGAUGACACGAGAAGAAACAGUUUAGUUAUAUUUUGUGUUAACUAUAGUUAUUUGAAGGCUGUCAUGAUUCUUUAUUUUUAUUUACUUCAAAAUAUGUUAAUAUUUCAUUUUCAAGAGCUACGGAGAUGACCAUUCGAUGUUCUGGGGAGGAAGAUUUUUAAAUUCAAUAGCAUGACUUUUAAGAACUUAAAAUAAAUGACAUUGUUCAAAACAGAAUGAACAUGAAUAGUUUACCCAACAACGUUCAGUAUAAUGAUGAUGGUAUCCCCUUUUUAAAAAUAAGAAGAUGUGGUAUGAUUGCCAAUGAGACAACUAUCCACAAGAGUUCAAAUGACGCGGAUUCUAGCAUUUAAAGGCUAACGGGCGGCCUUAAAUAAUGAGAUAAACCCAUUUUUUGUAAUCAACUAUGAAAGGUCACGACUUAAAAAUUUGAAACAAUCCAAACGAGAAAAUAAACGGCCUAAUUUAUCACAAUUAAAUCAUGAAAAACAAAUUUGACUGACUUGAAACAACGACAACCAAUGAAUAACAGGAUUUUGACUUGGGAAAGGCAUGUAUCGAUAGUGUGUGUGUGGAAGGGGGAUGGGGGUCAACAUUUGUGUGAACGCUCAACCUUCCCCUUAAAUCGAACAGUGGUGCAAUAAUAAUGACAUUAGAUAGCCCUCUCACAAACCGAAAAAAACCCUUAGCUGUAAAAUAUAACGGCAUACACAACAAUCACGGUCAUAUAGCUCCUCAUAUAUUUAUAAAUCCACCGGCAAUGCAAUUAUAUGGUUUUAAUGUCUUAUGAAUCUGAAACGCGCUUCAGACCAAUCAUGUUUUAAUUUUUUUCUAGGUUUUUUGUGAAGUCCGUCUGAUUUUCAAAACUAAAAAUGAGAGUAAAGAAGAAAGGGAUGCUUCGUUUUAAGUAAUCAACACAAAACUUUUAUUAUAUAAAUAGCAACUUAAUGUAAAUUAAACCAGUAAUAACUAGAAACCUUUUUAUUAUUAAAAUCAAACUUAAGCUAAAACAUUUGCAGAUGCUCGUCGGUACAAACAAAUUCCAUACAGAUCUAGAAAAGCCUUCAUAAUAUAUAUAUCUAAGCUAUCGUUAUUUAAAAAAAAAACAGAAGUAAAAUACAUAGAGACAUAAAUUCAAACGGUUUCUAUUUAUAUUUCCAACACAAGGGGGGUAAAAGUCUAAUAUAAUGCUUUGGUAUGAUUCAGUACACCUACACCUACUAAGUUUUACAGUGUGUUACAAGCAAGGUAUAAAUGACCACAACUACAGAUAGUGUAAGAAAUGUUACAAAUAAUCCAAGGCGUAAGCCUUAUUUAGGAAAUCUGCAAGUUGGCAAUAGUAAAACAGGUAUAAAUAGUUAUUGCCUCUUCUUUGCACCGUACAAAAGAUACCAUAGACCCGUAUGAGGCUGUCAGCAUCAGUAGUAAGGUACACGAUAUGUUCCAUUGUCCUUCUAAUGUAUUUGGUUUAUUAGUUUUACGACGGAUCAAGUACGGUUAGUACGUAUAUUAACCGUACUUGUGAUUUGGAGGUAGCACAAGAUGUGUAUCAAACAAUCUAACCUAAAGGUAACGUAGUUUUCAAGUUUGACCGGCUCACCUUUAGAUUUUGAAUAUAAAUUGUCGAUGCUAUUACUUAAUAAAUAAAUAAGAAAUAUAGCUGAGAACAAUUAAAACAGGAAUAAUGAACUAUUGUCCUAAACACAGCAUUGCAUAAUGACACUGAUACUAUAUAUGUAAACAUGUCGAAAUUCGGCAGUUUUUCAUUAGUUAUGAUAUUUUUCUGUAUCGAAGUAGAAGUAGCAAUCGUUUUCUUGUCAGAAAAAUGACAAAGCUUGGAAAUCAUUUCGAUUAGGAAAUCUUCCAUCAAACGCCACAAUAUAUACCGAGUGUUGUUAGCAACAAUCGAUCUUUUUUCAAUUCAUAAUAAAAAGUUAAGUGUAGAGACAUAACUUUGAACAGUGUGGCUGAUUAAAAUAUAAAUUUUUAGAACUAUUGUGGAUUCAUUAUUAUUCGUUGGAUACCAAUUUUCGUGGAGUUCGUGAGUACUGGUGAACCACGAAAUUAAAUGUUCAACGAAUAACAAAUUUUCUAUAGGCUUGUAUGCAGACCUCGCCAAAACCACGAAAUUAAAUAUCCACGAACAUGUAAGUUUUCCUUUAUCCACGAAAAUUGGUACCCACGAAAAAAAUGAAUCCACAGUAUAUCAUUCUCAACAGUUCAGCCAUUUCAAUAGUUAACCAGUCAUCUUUCUGUUUCACUUAAAAUGAUUUAUGCCUUGCCAGAGACCUAACGUUUUGUAAAAGCUGGUUACCCAAAAAUUUAAGAAUUAAGCGCCUGCUUAAAUUUUCUUUCUUCUCUAAAACUGCACCAUAAGAUAAGUGUCGCUGCUGAAAUAGCCUUUCAUCCUUGAAGUCUAUUUGGUGGUGAACUUUAUAAGUGGGAAACAUGUCGAUGUUUGAAGUACUGAAGACGUCCCUUUCGAAGUAAUUGCUUCCAUGUUCUAGCUGUUCAUCGUCUAGUAGAUCUGUCAGUAGACUCACAUCAUGCAGUCAUCACGGCUGUUGGUAUCAGGUUAUUGAAUAUCAGCAACUGACUCUGGUUGUACUUCACACAAGAUGGCAUUUGGUGAACAUGGUGAAACGAUGAUAGUUCUAAUGGGUACGUUGCUGAUGUGUUCUGGUACUAGUCGAUUAUCUUUGUAUUUGUAGAAGACUAAAGAUGGAGCAAUGUCUAAAUUGGUUGGUAUGACAACUGUUGAAGUAUGUUGAAGUACGCAACAAACAGGAUGGUGCAGUAUCUUAUGAUCCAUGUAACUUGGAAGUACUACAUUUUUGUUGGGUUUAAUGUAUAUUGUCUUGUAUUUCGCACAUUUCAUGAUCGCCAGUUUGUCACUUCUUUUAUGUAAUUCUUUCUCUUGGAGUGAAAAACAAAGGAAAGAGAUGUACCAUGGUGUGAACAAGUCUGCAACUUGGAGAAAUCUGGGACCAAAGCGGCUUUUGACAUCACCCGUAGCUUCAACAUCAACUGUUUUGGGUCUUAUACAUCUUUUCCUUUCAAGUUCAUGUAUUUUGCUUUGAGCUUUGACCGAUGAAGUGAACUCCGGAAACGCGCUGACAUGAUUAAUUGUAUGUUUAUAAAUUUAUAAAUUAUUAGGAAACCAAUGUUUCAACUCCCUCACGCAAAGUUGACCUCAAAUGGAUUUGGCUAUUAUUUUAGUCAUUGGUCAUAUACCUCUUCAUAUACAGUCUUCCAUGUUGAUCUGCCGGUAGCUGUAUGUUUGUAAAGAAUGGUUUAGACGAACGGAGUAGGCAAAGGCUAGAUGACCGUGCAGUGCAAAUACCAGACGUUCAUACACACUUUGAUAUCAUCUAUAUGGGUGUGCAAGUUUUUAUAUGUUUUAGUUUAGAGAUGAGUAACGUGAAGCGUGACAAGGAUUGUUUCAGAUGGAAGAUGUUCAAGAAUCACAUUUUCUUUAGAUAAUGUGGUUUAUCUUUGAUGUAGGAUGGUACAUUUUCUACAUGUGGUCUUUAAUGAAAGUCAAUACAUUCUGAUAUUUUCUCCGUAGGGUGGCCAUUCACAGAAACUAUUGGUCUACCAAGAUUAUUGACCGGUGUGUAUUUUGGACAGAAGAUAGAAACGUCCCGGCUUUGAUUUUUUUCAGCUUUUAUGUAAUCGAAUAUAUCUUCGUUUAUAUGACCCUGUUCACA